rnacentral:rRNA from 1 species
UACGGAGGGCGCAAGCGUUGUUUGGAAUCACUGGGCGUAAAGCGCGUGUAGGCGGCUUGGCAAGUCGGGUGUGAAAUCCCGAGGCUCAACCUCGGAACUGCAUUCGAAACUGCUCGGCUAGAGUCCCGGAGAGGAUGGCAGAAUUCCCGGUGUAGGGGUGAAAUCCGUAGAUAUCGGGAGGAAUACCAGUGGCGAAGGCGGCCAUCUGGACGGUGACUGACGCUGAGACGCGAAAGCGUGGGGAGCAAACAGG